rnacentral:lncRNA from 1 species
AGAAGUAGAAUCUAUGAAGAAGCAACAAUCUUCUGUUGACUUUUUACAGUAGCUCCCUUUCUCUCUUCCACUGCAGGAAGCAAGAUAAACUUAUCUUCCUCAUUUUCCAGCAAGCUCCAGCUUGUCUCCCCUCCACCCCCAACCAGUGCUUUCCAAGGGCCGAUAAGGUUCUACUUCCCUGGUUGAGCCCUGGUAGAUACAGUUCCUGAGAACUUCAUGGAGCAGUUUCUGCACCAAACCUGCCCUCUCUACCUCUGGACCUCUACGUGAAAAAGAGAAGUACAUCUCUGUCUUGGGUUAUCCACUGUUAUUUUGGUCUGCCUUCCUGGAGCCAGGCCGCCACUGGUCUUGAACCCCUAUCCUCCUCUAGACCAUUAUGGGAGACAGAAAGAACUUCUACCUUAUCUGACGCAUUGCAAUUUUUAGUUUCUAACAGGAACUUGCCUUAUAGCUUAAGUAAAUCCC